ACGUUGAUACAAUUUUCAUUCCAACAAAAGCUUUUUAUAUAUCCGUAACUGUCCUCAUAAAGGAGGCGUUACGGUAUUCCACAAUCUCUUUCCUAUUUAUUGAAACAAAUGAGUAUGUAUUCUCCCAGAAUCAACAAACUCACAAUAGAGUUGAAGCACAAAAUAGCAAUUGGUACCAAUCAUCCAUGUGAAGUAUACACACAAGGAGACAAUAGUCACCUCUUCUUUUUUCUUGGAUGCAUAUCAUUGCAAACGUGUUUAAGAGAGAGCUACUAUGGAUGAAGAUGGUUCCUUCUAUUGAUAGUAUUGCUGGAAGUAGAUGAUGAAGUGCAAAGAUCAAAAGAUGUGUGGAAGUCAAUAAGAGCUUUUAUGUUGAUAGUAAGUCAAUAAGAGCUUUUGUGUUGAUAUUUUAUUUUCUUAUUAUUAAAAUGUAAACUUUCAAUUUUUUCAUGAGAGCUGA